ensembl:misc_RNA 7SK 7SK RNA
AGUUGUGAGGACAAUCUGGCUGUGACAUCUGCCACCUCAUGGAUUUCCAGGACUGAUGUGGCUAUCUGGCUGGCUAGGUAGGUGUCCCCUUCCCCCCUUCAUCACUCCUGUUCAUCCUUCCCAUAGCUGUGUGCUCAGUCUAAGAGGAUGACCUUCCCUGACAGAGGAGGACUGUUCUUCAGUCAAGGGUAUACCGGUAGCUGUGCUUUCCUGCUAGAACCUCCAAACAAGCUCUUGAUGUCUAUUUGUAGGAGAACAUAGGGUAGUCAAGCUUCUAAGACUUCAGACACAUCUAAAUGAGGCACAGUAUAUGGCAGUUUGCCUUUCUUU